CGCUAGGAGACCACCGCGAGCAGCUGGGACAGGGAGGCGGAAGUACCCUCUGACGGAAAGCUGCUUUAGUCGUUGGCCUUCAAGAGCUGGACGGAUUUGGGACUGCCACCGGUGAGGGGACUCUGGUGCCGCAUGGGGAGGUGAGAUGAAAGUAGGGCGCGCAAGAUUGAACGCCUGCAGAAGAGGCAAGCCACUUAGGCUUUCUCAGCCUCAGUUUUCUCAUAUGUAAAACCGGCACAAGAGUCCUACACUGCCUCCCUUUCAAGAUUUAUUGGAACAUAAACCUGAUUGAAUCCUUGUUAUUGAAUCCAUGUUAUACAUGUUACUGUUGUGUUUUUUUUUUUAAGUUGUAAAAAUAUUUCUUAACUCAUUUACCUAGUCUGGAUUAUUUGCUGUUUUGGAGACAACUGACUUAAAUGUAACUGAUCAAAUCCACUCCGAUUUUUUCCCCCCUAAAAUUACUUUUCCUUAAAGGCAAAUGUUCCUGUCGUCGUCGCACAAGUCUGUAACCCCAGCGACUUGCCAGGCUGAGGCAGGAGGGUCACAAGUUCGAGAUCAGCCUGUGCAAUUUAGCCAGGCUCUGUCCCAAAAUAAAAAGGGUUGGGGAUGUAGCUCACUAGUAAAGCUCUUCAGGGUUCAAUCCCCAAUACACGCCCCCCCCCCCGCCCUCUGUGUAGCACAGGCGAAUACAUUUGUUUGUCAAAGAAUUUUUGCAUCCAGUACAGCUUUUCAGUAACUGGAAAACUCCAUAGAGAUCUGCUGUAUCAGGAAACCGUAGCCCUGAUGUUGGAGGAAGAAGUCAUUCCUAGAAGAAGUUAGUGGCCAAGAGGAAAACCAGGUUUCCUGGGGAAUUCCUGAUGAUACAAAUCCCCCUAGUAUAGGGAAUUUAACCCAGGGGCACUCUACUACUAAGCUACACCCCAGCCCUUUUAAAUUUUUAUUUUGAGAUGGGGGUCUCCUUGUCAUCUGUUAUUUUCUCUGAAUUGCUGAGGUUGGCCUUUAACUUGCAGUCUUCCUGGCUUAGCCUCCUAAAUCCCUGGGAUUACAGACCUGGGCCCCUCUGCCAAACUAGUCACAACCUCUUGUAUGCAUACUCCUUUCCUAACUAAGGACAGCAAGGACUUUGUUUAGAUAUAAUGUUUCUUAAAUAUUUCUUUUAAAUCAGGGCAUAUUACUAAUAUGCUAAUAGAGCUAGUAGAGGAAUCUCACUUAAUCGUGCUCAUGUUGAGGAGGAGUGCUUAUACAGUGGCCAACAGAAGGAUCCUUCUCCAUCAAGGCCAUCACCCUAAAAAGUAAUGAAAAACCUUGGGCAUGGUGACUCACACAUAUAGUACCAGCUACUGGGGAGAAUGAGGCAGGAGGAUCUCUUGACCCCAGAAGUUUGUGACUGGGAAACAGUGAGAUCUCUUUAAAAAACAAAACAAUAAUAAAACCAGAGAUCAAAGAUACCUUGAGAGAGAGCCAAAAAGAGUCAUGAAAGUUGUUUUCUACAAGUAUUUUGAUGCCAAAAAAGUGAUUUUUUACUCAAAACAUUUAGUCAUUUUAAGUGUGAAAUAUGGGAAAGCUUGGAAGAAAAACAUUUAAGAAAGUUAAAGCUGGGUGUGGUGGCACACACUUGUAAUCUCAGAAUCUCAGGAGGCUGAGGCAGGAGGAUCAUGAGUUCAAAGCCAGUCUCAGCAAAAAUUGAGGCACUAAGCAGUGAAACUCGGGUCUUUAAAAAACAGUACAAAAUAGUGCUGUGGAUAUGGCUCAGUGUCAAGUACCCCUGAGUUCAAUCCUCUGUAAUCCCUCCCCAAAAAUAAUUAAUAUUGGCUGAAGACACUGAAAUAAUCAAGUAAAAAUUUCAAUCAACACUGUUAUGCAAUUUUUUUAGAUCUUAUUCUCUAAGAUAUUUGAUACAUUUAGAAGCAUUUACAAAGUCAUCCAUAGACUACCUCAAGUGGAAGGUUCACUUAAUUGGAGAAAAAGAAUGGCUCAAUGCUCAAGAUUAAAAUGAAGACUGAUAUAACCUUUUGCUUGUUUGGGGGUUUUGAGGAGAAACUAUGGUCUCCUUGUCAUCUGUUAUUUUCUCUAAAAUAAAAAGUUGAGAUUAUUUUUUCCAAAAAAAUGUUUAGAAAUUUUAAUUAAACUGCUAAAAAACAAACAAUGAGAAAAUAUUGAAAGUUGAGGGGGGAAAGCCUUAUAACUUUUAAAGGAGCAAUAAGACUGAGAGCUGAUUUCUCAGCUGAAUAGUAGCUAUAAAGGCUGAGAAAAAUGAUAUAUAUGAUCAUUGUUUGUCCACAGAUUGAUAAAUCUAUGGGAGAUAUAAAAUUCUAGAAGAAGUUGGGCAUGGUGGCACCUGUCUAUACUGCUAGCUACUUGGAAAGCUGAGGCAGGAGAAUCUCAAGGAUUUCCAUCCCUGCUGCUCCUAGUAUGGUGAUUGAACCCAGGGGCACUGUAUCACUGAGCUAAUCCCCAGCCCUUUUUAUUAUUUUUAGUUUUGAGACAGGGUUCUCACUAAGUUGCUUAGGGGCCUGGCUAAAUUGCUGAAGCUGAUCUCUAACUUGUGAUCCUCCUGCCUCAGCGCUGAGUUUCCUAAAAGUUUAAAAAUCUGCAUGCCCCUUGUGCCUUUUUUUUUGGGGGGGGGGCAGUACUAGGGCCUCAUGCAUGCUACCACUGAGCUACAUCCCCAAUCCUUUUUUUAUGAUUUAUUUACUUUUGCAUUAUUUAUUUUGGGGAUUGAGCCCAAGGGUACUUUACCCCUGAGCUACAUCCCCAGCCUUUUUAUUUUGAGACAGAGUCUCACUAAAUUGCUGUGGCUGACUUCAAACUUGGAAUCCUUCUACUUUAGCCUCCUAUAUUGCUGGGAUUACAGGCGUGUACCACUGUACUCAGCUCCCUUGUGAAUUUUUAAUUUUCAUGUAAAUUUCUUUGUAAUAAUGAGUUGCAAUGGGUAAAAUUUCCAUCAUACUGUAAAUAUUGAUCUUUUCAAAUAAAAUUGUUGCAUUGCUAUUUUAAAUGUAAACCUGUAGAGUCUAAAUACCACAGCAAUUUGAUACCCACUAUCAUCCAUUUAAAAAAAUGAGAAAGUUUAUCAACAUCAAGAAAUUUCAGGGCUGGGGAUGUGGCUCAAGUGGUAGCACGCUCGCCUAGCAUGUGUGAGGCACUGGGUUUGAUCCUCAGCACAAAAUAAAAACAAAAUAAAGAUAUUGUGUCCACCUAAAACUAAAAAAUAUUUUUUAAAAAUUUCAGAUUCUUAUUUGUGCUCUAUACACACAUACUGUCAUUGUAUGUCCCCUAAAUUGUACCUUCUUAUACUUUUUUUUUGGGGGGGGGGUGUGCUUGACUUUUAUUGAUAUUCCUUUGUAAGAAAAAUGUGUACUACAAAUAUAAUAGAUUUUUUUUAAAAAAUGUUCUCAUGACAAGGCUCUUAAUGUUAAAAAUUUGGUUCUGGGGGCUGAGGGUAUAGUUGAGUAGAGAACUUGCCUAAUGUGUACAAGGCCCUGGAUUCUAUCCCCAACAUAGCAAAAUAAUCUUUUUUGUUGUUGUUUUGAGUAUCAUUGUGCUACUAUGCAUUUAAACAACAGGACAAAAUAUGCCAGAAAGUUAACAACAAAUAAUUAGUAACAAUAAAGUUUUAUUAGAAAUUUCUGUCUUAAAGAGAUGAAUGGAUGAAUGGGCCCAUAUUACCUUUUGCUGUAUAAUAAUUUUCUUAAAACUUAUUACCUUAAAAUAACAAACAUUUAUUAUUUCACAUGACUUCUAAGGGUGGGGAAUCUGGGAGGGCAUGGCUGGGUGGUUCCAACUCAGUAUCUCUCCUGAGGUUGUAGUCAAGCUGUUGGCCAGAGUUGCAGCUGUUGAAAGCAUGACUGAGGCAGGGUAAUCCACUCUCAAGCUCACGUGACUGUUGGCGGUCCUCUCCUGGAGUCUCACAACACAGAAUUUGGCAUCCCCCAGGAUGAAUAAUCCAAGAAAGAGAGAAUGACUGAGACAGAUGCCACAGUAUCUUUUUAACAACUUUAUUGAGAGACAAUUCACAUAUCUUGCCAAUCACCCAUUUAAAUAUAUUCAUUGAGUUGGGCAUCCAUCAAUGAGCUGCAAUCAUGAUCAAUUUUAGAACAUUUUUAUCACACCCAGAAGUCCAUACCCUUUAUCAGUUACUUCUUUAAACCCCUCAGCCCUAGGAAACAAACAGUCCAUUUUUUGUCUUUAUAGAUCUGCCUAUUCCAGGCAUUUCAUGUAGAUAAAAUAUGAUAUGUAGCUCUCUGUGACUGGCUUCUUUUACUUAGCAUAAUGUUUUCAAGGUUCAUCCAUGUUGUAGCAUGUGUCAAUAUGUCAUUCUCUUUUAUGGCUGAAUAAUAUUCUGUUAAAUGGAUGUAUCAUACUUUGUGCAUAUUUCAGUAAAUGGACAUUUGGGUCACUUCCACUUUUUGGCUGUUAUGGAUAAUGCUGCUAGAAAUAAUUUUGUUCACCCCCACCCCUGUGCUUUGUGGUGAUAGGAAUUGAACUUGGGGCCUUAUACAUGCUAGGCAAGUGCUCUUCCACUGAACUACAUCCCCAAAAUCUUGGACAAAUUUUUGGUUGGUGAGUUUAUAUACCUAGGAGUGAAAUUACUGGCUCAUACAGUAAUUCGUUUAACCAUUUGAGAAAUCUUCAUGCUGUUUUUCAAAAUGACUACGCCAUUUUACAUUCCCACCAACAUUGUAUGAAGGUUUCCACCUUCUCACUAACAUGUCUUGUCUUUUUUAUUAUAGCUCUUCAUGGUUUUGAUUUGUAUUUCACCAAGGACUAAUUAUAUCAAGUGUCCUUUCAUGUACCUUUUAACCAUUCAUGUAUUUUUGAGAAAUGUCUACUCAGAUAUUUUGCCUACCUUUUAAUUGGUUUAUUUGCCUUUUUAUUAUAAUAAUUAUAUGUGCUUGUCAAAUAUUUUCCGUGUGUGUGUGUGUAUUACUGGGGAUUGAACCCAGGACCUCAAGCAUUACAUCCCCAGCCCAGUUUUUAUUUUGAGACAGGGUCUCUCUGAGUUACCUUGUCUGGCCUCAAAUUUUAAAUCCUGCUACCUGAGCCUCCUAAUAGCUGGGAUUACAGGCAUGUGCCACUCUUUUUACUUUCCAGAAUUGUCUUUUUGCUUUUUUUAUGCUGUUCUUUCUCAAGUUAUUUUUGCUUUUGGUGUCAUGUCUAAGAUACCAUUGCCUAUCCAAGGUCAUGAAGAUUUACAUCUAUGUGAGAUUGAUAUAAAGUUUUCUAAAAAGUUAAAAUCAAGCAUGAAAACAGGAGCAUAACUGAAUGUUUUAAAGGCAUUAAAGGUCUCUCCCUCUGGAGAUAGGCCACAUUCUUCCUUGAGUGCAUAUUCCUUGCUUUAAUCCAAAGGGGUGUCUUUUGAGAUUGCUCCCCCCAUUCUUCCUUGAGUGUGUAUCUACUUUCCU
rnacentral:lncRNA from 1 species